CUCCUGACCUCAAGUGAUCCGCCCAUCUCGGCCCACCAAAGUGCUGGGAUUUCAGGUGUGAGCCACCACGCCCGGCCGAUGAAUGGAUUUUAAUAAAAUAGUAUGAAAACUUCAUUAUUAUGGUUUCUGAUUCCACAUUGCAACUAACCAUUAAAUGUUACAGGUUGAGCUUCCAUAAUCUAAAAAUCCAAAAUCCAAAAUGCUCCAAGAUGUGAAAUUUUUUGAGAACCAACAUGAUGCCACACCUGGAAAAAUUCCUCACCUGACCUCAUGUGAUGAGUCACAGUCAAUUCAGUGAAAACUCUUUCGUAUACAAAACUAUCUCAAAUAUUAUAUAAAAAUUACUUUCAGACUAUAUGAGUAAGCUGUAUAUGAAACAAAUAAAUUUUGUGUUUAGACUUGGAUCUCAUCCUCGAGGUAUCUCAUUAUGCAUAUGCAAAUAUAUCAAAAUGGAAAAUGUUCGAAAUCUGAACACUUCUGGUUCCAAGCAUCUCAAAUAAGGGAUACUCAACCUGCACACUAAUAGGUAGUGUAGCAUCAAAGAAAAAUAUCCACAAUUAUCUUGAAAGGCUAUUUAAAUGAUCCUCCCUUUCCCAGCUAUUUAUCUGUGUGACACUGGGUUUUCUUCAUGUUCUUCAACCAAAAUAACACAUCACCAUUGACUGAAUACAGAAGCGGAUGUGAGGGAUAUCUUUUAUUAGCUCAGACAUUGAAGAGAUUUGUAAAAAUAUCAAACAAAGCUACUAUUCUAACUAAAUUUUCUUUUAUUUUAGAAAAUAUAGUCCCAGAACUUAAGUAAAAUUAAAAAAUAUAUAUAUAUAUAGUUUAAGGAAUGUCAUAUCUGUUAUUGUGCAAUGGGUCUAUUAUUAUUUCUUAUUUUAUUUUAUUUUAUUUUAUUUUAUUUUAAGACAGUCUCACUCUGUCACUCAGGCUGGAGUGCAUUGGCACAAUCUCGGCUCACUGCAACCUCUGCCUCCCGGGUUCAAGCGAUUCUCCUGCAUCAGCCUCCUUAGUAGCUGGGACUACAGGCACCCGCCACCAUGCUUGGCAAAUAUUUUUGUAUUUUUCGUGGAGAUGGGGUUUCACCAUGUUGGCCAGGCUGGUCUCAAACUCCUGACCUCAAAUGAUCCUCCCACCUUGGCCUCCCAAAGUGCUGGGAUUUCAGGCAUGAGCCACCGCACCCGGCCCAGUUCUUUUCUUUUUUUGAAACAGGAUCUGUCUCACAUUGUCGUCUAGGGUGGAGUGCGGUGGAUCACGGCUCACUGCAGCCUUAACCUCCUGGGGGUCAAGUGAUCCUGCUACCCCAGCUUCCUAAGUGGCUGAAACUACAGAUGAGAAGCCAAAGCGAAGAAGACAGGCUUCAGGCCUAGACUGCCUGGGCCCAAGGCUGAGCUCAGCCACAUCCUCACUGUUGAGACUGGGCAGGGCUGUGAAAUGCCAGAAACAAGAGCGGCUAAAGGACCCAUUCUGCAAAGCGUGUAGCAACCUGAGAUGAAACAGGGCGGACACCCAGGAGUCGCCAUCUACGGAGAGAGACUCACCAGCUGGCAGCAAACACUGCAAAUCAAAGCAAGCAAAUGAGGCUGUGUGUAUAUGAUUAGAAAACCGUAGAAUGCUGUCCAAAUAUUAUUCAGAAAUUAUUAUUUGUCAUAUAAGCAGACUUUAGUGCCUCACCCAUGAAAAUAAUGCAUUUCAAUAGUAAUACACUUUCCUUUCCUUUCCUUUUCCUUUCCUUUCUUUUUUUGUUUUUUUAUGGAGUCUUGCUGUGUUGCCCAGGCUGGAG
rnacentral:lncRNA from 1 species